AGAGUUUGAUGCCUGGCUCAGGACGAACGCUGGCGGCGUGCCUAAUGCAUGCAAGUCGUACGCUUGUAAAAGCGUGGCGAACGGGUGAGUAACGCGUAGACAACCUACCCCAAACCGGGAACUACCCCCGCGAAAGCGGGGUUAAUGUCCCAUGAGGUGUCAGCUUGAAAUAGCUGCCAUCAAAGCUCCGGCGGUAUGGGAGGGGUCUGCGUCCUAUCAGCUUGUUGGCGGGGUAAUUGCCCACCAAGGCGAUGACGGGUAGCUGGUCUGAGAGGAUGGACAGCCACACUGGGACUGCGACACGGCCCAGACUCCUACGGGAGGCAGCAGCAGGGAAUCGUUGGCAAUGGACGAAAGUCUGACCACGCGACGCCGCGUGAAGGAAGAAGGCCUUCGGGUUGUAAACUUCUUUUAUGAGGGACGAUGAUGACGGUACCUCAUGAAUAAGCACCUGCUAACCACGUGCCAGCAGCCGCGGUAAGACGUGGGGUGCAAGCGUUGUCCGGAGUGACUGGGCGUGAAGGGCGUGUAGGCGGUCUUGUGAGUCUUCUUUGAAAGCCAUGGGCUCAACCCAUGAUUCGGAGGAGAUACUGCGAGGCUAGACGGUACCAGGGGCAGAUGGAAUUCCCGGUGGAGGAGUAAAAUCCGUUGAGAUCGGGAGGAACACCAGUGGCGAAGGCGAUCUGCUAGGGUACUCGUGACGCUGAGGCGCGACAGUCUGGGGAGCGAAAGGGAUUAGAUACCCCUGUAGUCCAGACCGUAAACGAUGCACUCUAGGCAUUGGGAGUAUCGACCCUCCCUGUACCGUAGCUAACGCGUUAAGAGUGCCGCCUGGGAAGUACGGUCGCAAGACUAAAACUCAAAGGAAUUGGCGGAGGCUCGCACAAGCGGUGGAGCAUGUGGUUUAAUUCGACGACAAACGAAGAACCUUACCCAGUCUUGACAUCUCUGGAAUCUGCCAGAAACGGUGGAGUGCCCGCAAGGGAGCCAGAAGACAGGUGCUGCACGGUCGUCGUCAGCUCGUGCCGUGAGGUGUUUCCUUCAGUGGAGCAACGAGCGCAACCCUCAGCUCAUGUUGCAUAUUCAUGAGCGACUGCGGCGGUAACGCCGAGGAAGGUGGGGAUGACGUCAGAUCAGCGUGGCUCUUACGAUUGGGGCUACACACGUGCUACAAUGCCACAGACAAAGGGUUUGCCAAGCCGCAAGGCGGAGCGAAUCCCAUCAAAAUGUGGCGCAGUUCGGAUUGCAGGCUGCAACUCGCCUGCAUGAAGCCGGAAUCGCUAGUAACCGUGGGUCAGCCAUACCACGGUGAAUACGUUCUCGAGCCUUGCACACACCGCCCGUCAAGCCAGCCGAGUCGGCAACGCCUGAAGC
rnacentral:rRNA from 1 species